GGGGAUUUAGCUCAGUGGUAGAGCGCUUGCCUAGAAAGUGCAAGGUCCUGGGUUCGAUCCCCAGCUCCG
rnacentral:tRNA from 1 species